rnacentral:rRNA from 1 species
GCAGUAGCCGCGGGAAUACGUAGGGUGCAAGCGUUAAUCGGAAUUACUGGGCGUAAAGCGUGCGCAGGCGGUUAUGUAAGACAGGUGUGAAAUCCCCGGGCUUAACCUGGGAAUGGCAUUUGUGACUGCAUAGCUAGAGUGUGUCAGAGGGGGGUAGAAUUCCACGUGUAGCAGUGAAAUGCGUAGAGAUGUGGAGGAAUACCGAUGGCGAAGGCAGCCCCCUGGGAUAACACUGACGCUUAUGCACGAAAGCGUGGGGAGCAAACAGGAUUAGAUACCCGCGUAGUCCCUGUCUCUUAUAC